rnacentral:rRNA from 1 species
ACGGAAGGCAGCAGUGGGGAAUAUUGCACAAUGGGGGAAACCCUGAUGCAGCGACGCCGCGUGAGUGAAGAAGUUAUUCGUAAUGUAAAGCUCUAUCAGCAGGGAAGAAAAUGACGGUACCUGACUAAGAAGCCCCGGCUAACUACGUGCCAGCAGCCGCGGUAAUACGUAGGGGGCAAGCGUUAUCCGGAUUUACUGGGUGUAAAGGGAGCGUAGACGGUCUAGCAAGUCUGAUGUGAAAGGCAGGGGCUCAACUCCUGGACUGCAUUGGAAACUGUUAGUCUUGAAUGUCGGAGAGGUAAGCGGAAUUCCUAGUGUAGCGGUGAAAUGCGUAGAUAUUAGGAGGAACACCAGUGGCGAAGGCGGCUUACUGGACGAUAACUGACGUUGAGGCUCGAAAGCGUGGGGAGCAAACAGGAUUAGAUACCCUGGUA